rnacentral:rRNA from 1 species
GCGAACUUCUAAACCUUUGACGAUUGACUCAUGUUGCCUCGGCGGGUUCUCCCGCCAGAGGAUACGUCAAAACUCCUGUUUUAACGGUGUUGUCUGAGCUACAAGCAACGAAUCAAAACUUUCAACAACGGAUCUCUUGGUUCUGGCAUCGAUGAAGAACGCAGCGAAAUGCGAUAAGUAGUGUGAAUUGCAGAAUUCAGUGAAUCAUCGAAUCUUUGAACGCACAUUGCGCCCCUUGGUAUCCCGAGGGGCAUGCCUGUUCGAGCGUCAUUUCACCACUCAAGCCUGGCUUGGUGUUGGGCGACGUCCCCUUUGGGGACGCGCCUCGAAACGCUCGGCGGCGUGGCACCGGCUUUAAGCGUAGCAGAAUCUUUCGCUUUGAAAGUCGGGGCCCCGUCUGCCGGAAGACCUACUCGCAAGGUUGACCUCGGAUCAGGCAGGGAUACCCGCUG